GCUGGGAUAGUUUAGGGGCAGAAUGGAUGAUUUGUAAUCAUCAGACGCAAGUUCGAUUCUUGCUCUCAGCA